rnacentral:rRNA from 1 species
CAAUAGCGUAUAUUAAAGUUGUUGCGGUUAAAAAGCUCGUAGUUGGAUUUCUGCUGAGGAUGACCGGUCCGCCCUCUGGGCAGGUAUCUGGCUCAGCCUUGGCAUCUUCCUGAAGAACGCAGCUGCACUUGACUGUGUGGUGCGGUAUUUAGGACAUUUACUUUGAGGAAAUUAGAGUGUUUCAAGCAAGCGCACGCCUUGAAUACAUUAGCAUGGAAUAAUAAGAUAGGACCUCGGUUCUAUUUUGUUGGUUUCUAGAACUGAGGUAAUGAUUGAUAGGGAUAGUUGGGGGCAUUCGUAUUUAACUGUCAGAGGUGAAAUUCUUGGAUUCGUUAAAGACGGACUACUGCGAAAGCAUUUGCCAAGGAUGUUUUCAUUGA